rnacentral:rRNA from 1 species
AACGAACGCUGGCGGCAUGCCUAACACAUGCAAGUCGAACGAGACCUUCGGGACUGGUGGCGCACGGGUGCGUAGCGCGGGGGACCCUGCCCUUAGGUUCGGAAUAACUCCCCGAAAGGGGUGCUAAUACCGGAUAAAGUCGUCGGACCAAAGAUUUAUCGCCUUUGGAUGGGCCUGCGUUGGAUUAGCUAGUUAGGAGGCUAAGAGUCGACCAAGGGGCCGAUCCAUAGCUGGUCUGAGAGGGUGGUCACCGACACUGGGACUGAGACACGGCCCAGAAUGCUACAGGAGGCAGCAGUGGGGAAUAUUGGCCAGUCGGCGAUAGCCUGAUCCAGCAAUGCCGCGUGAGUGAUGAAGGUCUUAGGGUUGUAAAGCUCUUUUACCCGGGAUGGUAAUGACAGUACCGGGAGAAUAAGCUCCGGCUAACUCCGUG